rnacentral:rRNA from 1 species
CCUACGGGGGGCAGCAGUGGGGAAUAUUGCACAAUGGGGGGAACCCUGAUGCAGCGACGCCGCGUGGGUGAAGAAGUCAUUCGUGACGUAAAGCCCUAUCAGCAGGGAAGAAAAUGACGGUACCUGACUAAGAAGCCCCGGCUAACUACGUGCCAGCAGCCGCGGUAAUACGUAGGGGGCAAGCGUUAUCCGGAUUUACUGGGUGUAAAGGGAGCGUAGACGGCGGCGCAAGUCCGGAGUGAAAGCCCACGGCCCAACCGUGGGACUGCUCUGGAAACUGUGCGGCUUGAGUGCGGGAGGGGCAG